AGGGAUAACGCUUGGGGGAUCGCUGUGAGGACUCGGAGUUAUGGAAACCGCUUUUUGCAAGACCCAGCCAGUGCCCACACUCAUCUCACUUGAAGCGAGAAAAAAAGAAAGAGAGAAAGAAAGAAAAAAAGAAUUAAAAGAAUGAAAGAGAGGAAGAAAGAGGAAGAGAAAACCUGGCAAGUUUUUAACCUGAUCUCCCCAACACAGAGAUUCUGAUUUAUUUGGUUGGGGGGUGGGGCCCAGGUAUCCUAUUUUGUAAAAGGUCCCCAGGUAACUCCAAUGUGCUGAGGGGUCCUAGUUAGAAAUGCAUAAUCUCAGGUCUCUCCCCAGGCCUGUUCUCAGAGCUUAUCCACUCCUUCACCGAGUGGCUCACUGCCAUUCUUCCACGCUGGCUGUAAACAGACUCUUCAUUUUAAGCAGACCCCCCUACGUGAAUUAGAUACACAUUAAGGUUUGAGAAUCAUUGGCUGACACCAAUAGUUCUCAAACAUUAGUGUGUAUCAGAAUCACCUGAGGGGCUUGUUAUCUCAGCUUGCUGAGCCCCACUCCCAGUUUGACUCAGGCGGUCUGAGGUGGGGCCCAGAGAUAAAGUGCAUUUUUGUUUUUUUGAGACGGAAUUUUGCUCUUGUUCCCCAGGCUGGCGUGAUCUCAGCUCACCACAACCUCUGCCUCCCGGGUUCAAACAAUUCUUCUGCCUCAGCCUCCCUAGUAGCUGGGAUUACUGGCGCCUGCCACCACACCCGGCUAAUUUUUUAUUUUUAGUAGAGAUGGGGUUUCGCCAUGUUGGCCAGUCUGGUCUUGAACUCCUGUUCUCAGGUGAUCCACCCACCUGAGCUUCCCAAAGUGCUGGAAUUACAUGCGUGGUCCAGCCGGAUAAAGUGCAUUUUGAACAUGUUCCCAGGUGAUGCUGCUGGUCAGUGGCCCACGCUGAGAACCAUGCAGCUGUUAUGUAAGUAGAAAUUUAGGUAAUGAGGCCCGGCAACCGGUAGGAUAUAAAGUACAUAGGUUUUGAAGAUACCUAAUUCGACUCCCCACUCCACCCCUAACUAUGUAAACCUAGAAGAGUUAAUGUCUCUGAACCUGUUUCCACAUUUAUUAAAUUACAGACGAAACAAGGCUACCAAAAUCACACUCCACUGAAGGUACUCUCCGUUGAUUUCAACAUGCCCUGAUAUUGUAUUAGUGUGCUGUCUUUCCUAUCCCUUAUUUUCAGACCCUGAGUUAAAGGGAGUGGAAUGCUCUCUUUACGACCUCACUCAGAAUCCCAUCCAGGAAGGGCUGUGCAGUGUGGCACUGAGCGGGGCAAGCACUCUGACAAUGAUGAGGGGGGCUGGGAGCUAGGUCCCUGGGCAGGGCCUAACGUCCAGCCACCCUGGCUACAGCCUGACGAAUCUGUGAUCAAGCAAAGGUACGGGGCUGCCGCUGCGACUGCAAAGAGCAAUCACCGGACCUCGAGACAGGCCCGAGUUCUAGGUCAGGCUCUGCCACCUCCUAGGAGGGAGACCACUUAGCAAACCAUUUAGCUUCUCCGAGCUAGCUAAGCUACUGUAAAAAGAGAAAAGCACCCCUUGCUCAGAGCAGCGGGAGAGGGUCUGGGGAAAUGAGCUAUACGCGGUAAACGGGGAAGAAAACGCAUCCUGGGCUCCGACACCUCCUUCCGGAGGUCCUGGUAUCCCCCGCAUUCCGCCCCGGAGCUCCCUGCACCGCCGACCCGGACCCACCACGCGGCAUUCCUUCCACUUUCCCCGUCUGGGUCGCCGCCGUAGCUAGCGGGCGCCUGGCCGGACCGCCUCCCACCGGCCGCAGCAGGACUGAGACACCAUGCCGGCGACCGGGCCGCUCUGUCCUCCCGGAGCGGACUGCGUCAGUGUGCGGAUCGUCACCGCGGCCCGGAGAAACUACAAUCCCCAGAAUGCCUCGCGCUGCGCGGCUCGCGCUCCGCAAAUCCCAUCCUACGUCAUUGGAGUCUCCUUCGCUGGAGGAGUUCAUUCAUUCCGCACGGAUUCAUUGAAGUGGUAGGUUCCUUCUCACGCUCCGGCACAGAGUGAUGACCACAAUCCAGUGACUUCCUGAACUGAUGACGCUGCAGGGGAGUCUUAAGAAAACAAACGGCCCGGCGCGGUGGAUCACGCCUGUAAUCCCAGCACUUUGGGAGGCCGAGGCGGGUGGAUCAUGAGGUCAGGAGAUCGAGACCAUCCUGGUCAACAAGGUGAAACCCCGUCUCUACUAAAAAAAAAAAAAAAAAAAAAUACAAAAA